CUUUCUUUUCCGGUUUCCUUUGUAAAACCUUCUGUCUGACAGCGACUCAUAUCUCUGUGCGACGAAUGUAAAAGAUACACGCCUGAUAUACAUUACAUGAGAGUGGCUGUCUGGAAAACCGUCUGGUGUCUGCAGCAGUCUGAUAAUACAAGAAGAAACUCUUUAACAGGGCAUCAAACAUUCUCACCAUGUCCAACCAACCCAUGCAAAACCACCAUGAGGUUGCCUACAUGUCACUGAUGAGAGGCUUGAAAGAGCUGGACCUCCGUGACCACUGUGUUCCCAGCGAUCUGGUCCUGAUUGGAGACCAUGCCUUUCCUUUGGCAAUGAACAGCCAAGGCCAGACCCUGAUGGCUGCGUCUCUGUACGGCAGGGGAAGGAUUGUAGUUCUGGGUCAUGAGAAUUACCUGUCGACCUUCCCAGCUCUUGUAGAGAACGCUCUGACCUGGCUGAGAGGAGAUGGAUCCGACAACCUGUCUGUAGGGGUCCACAAAAAUGUCUCUUCAGUCGCUGAUGAGCUCAGCAAAUCUAGCUUCCAAACCAAAGUGGUGGGGGCCUUUAGUGACAAUCUGGGGGUGGGUGUGUAUGUGACAGAUGCCUACAGUGUGGGCGCAGACCAGAA